rnacentral:rRNA from 1 species
CCAGCAGCUGCGGUAAUUCCAGCUCCAAUAGCGUAUAUUUAAGUUGUUGCAGUUAAAAAGCUCGUAGUUGGAUUUCGGGUGGGUUCCAGCGGUCCGCCUAUGGUGAGUACUGCUGUGGCCUAUCUUUCUGCCGGGGACGGGCUCCUGGGCUUCACUGUCCGGGACUCGGAGUCGGCGAUGUCACUUUGAGUAAAUUAGAGUGUUCAAAGCAGGCCUACGCUCUGAAUACUUUAGCAUGGAAUGACACGAUAGGACUCUGGCCUAUCUUGUCGGUCUGUAGGACCGGAGUAAUGAUUAAGAGGGACAGUCGGGGGCAUUCGUAUUUCAUUGUCAGAGGUGAAAUUCUUGGAUUUAUGAAAGACGAACUACUGCGAAAGCAUUUGCCAAGGAUGUUUUCAUUAAUCAAGAACGAAAGU